rnacentral:tRNA from 1 species
AGCCCUGAGGUGUUAUCAUAACGGAUUGCAAAUCCGGAGACGCAGACUAAACCCUGCCAGGGCUU